CGGUAGCUCAAACAACAAAGUGGAUCGCGGAAGCUGCACAACUUCCGCUUGAUGCUCCUCUGUGAGCAUCACACCGUCGAGCUUAGCCGACGUUAAACAAGCGCUAGUUGGGAGGCACCCCAACAUUGUAAGUAUUUACUGUUUUUUUUUUGUGUUGUGUUAUGUUGGGUUUCCUAGUGCUAAAACCAUGUUGUAUGAACAUGAAUUGCUGCCUUUGAAAAGGCAUUUGCUGUCAUGCUCGCUAGCUGCUCGCUAGGCGAGGCAGUAGCGAGCUGAUUCGCUAGCU
rnacentral:lncRNA from 1 species